AUACGGAGGGUGCAAGAGUUAUCCGGAUUCAUUGGGUUUAAAGGGUACGUAGGCGGAUAGAUAAGUUAGUGGUGAAAUCCCGAAGCUCAACUUCGGAACUGCCAUUAAAACUGUCUAUCUCGAAUUUGGUUGAAGUGGGCGGAAUAUGACAUGUAGCGGUGAAAUGCAUAGAUAUGUCAUGGAACACCAAUAGUGAAGACAGCUCACUAAGCCAAUAUUGACGCUGAGGUACGAAAGCAUGGGUAGCGAACAGGAUUAGAAACCCCGGUAGUCC
rnacentral:rRNA from 1 species